GUGACGAUGGAGCUUGCUUCAUCUGAUCAGUGGCGAACGGGUGAGUAACACGUGAGUAACCUGCCCCUCACUCUGGGAUAACCUCGGGAAAUCGUGGCUAAUACCGGAUAUGAGUUUCCACCGCAUGGUGGUUUCUGGAAAGUUUUUCGGUGAGGGAUGGACUCGCGGCCUAUCAGUUUGUUGGUGAGGUAAUGGCUCACCAAGGCGAUGACGGGUAGCCGGCCUGAGAGGGCGACCGGCCACACUGGGACUGAGACACGGCCCAGACUCCUACGGGAGGCAGCAGUGGGGAAUAUUGCACAAUGGGCGAAAGCCUGAUGCAGCGACGCCGCGUGAGGGAUGACGGCCUUCGGGUUGUAAACCUCUUUCAGCAGGGAAGAAGCGAAAGUGACGGUACCUGCAGAAGAAGCGCCGGCUAACUACGUGCCAGCAGCCGCGGUAAUACGUAGGGCGCAAGCGUUGUCCGGAAUUAUUGGGCGUAAAGAGCUUGUAGGUGGCUUGUCGCGUCUGCCGUGAAAACCCGAGGCUCAACCUCGGGCGUGCGGUGGGUACGGGCAGGCUAGAGUGUGGUAGGGGAGACUGGAACUCCUGGUGUAGCGGUGAAAUGCGCAGAUAUCAGGAAGAACACCGAUGGCGAAGGCAGGUCUCUGGGCCAUUACUGACACUGAGAAGCGAAAGCAUGGGGAGCGAACAGGAUUAGAUACCCUGGUAGUCCAUGCCGUAAACGUUGGGCACUAGGUGUGGGGGACAUUCCACGUUCUCCGCGCCGUAGCUAACGCAUUAAGUGCCC
rnacentral:rRNA from 1 species